UCUCUGCAAUUUGUGACAUCUCUU
rnacentral:sRNA from 1 species